rnacentral:rRNA from 1 species
AACGUAGGAGACAAACGUUAUCCGGAGUUACUGGGCGUAAAGGGCGUGUAGGUGGUUUCGUAAGUCUGGCGUGAAAUUUUUCGGCUUAACCGGGAAAGGUCGUCGGAUACUGCGGGACUAGAGGACGGUAGAGGCGUGUGGAAUUCCGGGUGUAGUGGUGAAAUGCGUAGAUAUCAGGAGGAACACCAAUGGCGAAAGCAAGUAUCUGGACUAUUACUGACGCUAAGCUGCGAAAGCUAGGGGAGCAAACAGG